rnacentral:rRNA from 1 species
AUGAGGGCAGAGCCUAUGCAUUGGGCAAGGGCAUUUUUUCAGCUAGGCUCAAAUUGUGAGUCUUUCGACAAUAAUCUAUGUGAGUCAUUCAAUCACUCAAUAGUAGAUGCAAGGUUUUAUCCAAUAAUUUCCAUGCAAGAGAGAAUCAGGAAGAAGAUACUUGUUAGAGUGCAAGAACAAAGGGCAAAGAGUGAGAAGUGGAAUGGGACAAUAUAUCCUGGCAUUUUCAAGAAGUUGAAGGCAAGUAUUGCAAGGACACAGUUUGUUGAAGUGCUUUGGAAUGGCACAGAUGGAUUUGAAGUGAAGCACAUCAAUGGCAGAGGAAGACAAUACACUGUAAAUCUUGAUAAAUGGACAUGCUCAUGUGGAUACUUCCAGUUGGCGGGUCUUCCUUGCUGCCAUGCAAUUAGUGCCAUCUACAAGUGUGGAAAAAAGUAG